rnacentral:rRNA from 1 species
CACGUAGGGGUCUAGCGUUGUCCGAAAUCAUUGGGCGUAAAGAGCUCGUAGGCGGUUCGGCAAGUCGGAUGUGAAAUCUCCACGCUCAACGUGGAGGGGCCAUUCGAAACUGCCGUGACUCGAGUCCGGUAGGGGAGUGCGGAAUUCCCGGUGUAGCGGUGAAAUGCGUAGAUAUGUGGAGGAACACCGAUGGCGAAGGCAGCCCCCUGGGUUAACACUGACGCUCAUGCACGAAAGCGUGGGGAGCAAACAGG